GGCGCGGUAGCUCAAUUGGUUAGAGCAUCGCACGAUGAAUGCGAAGACGUGGGAUCGUUCCCCACCUGCGGCA
rnacentral:tRNA from 1 species